GAUGAACGCUGACAGAAUGCUUAACACAUGCAAGUCUACUUGAUUCUACUUCGGUAGUUGAUGGUGGCGGACGGGUGAGUAACGCGUAAAGAAUCUGCCCUUUAGUUUGGGAUAACCUUUGGAAACGAAGGCUAAUACCGGAUAUUAUGGAGACGUCGCAUGGCGACUCCAUGAAAGCUAUAUGCGCUAGAGGAGGACUUUUCGUCCCAUUAGUUAGUUGGUGAGGUAAUGGCUCACCAAGACCGCGAUGGGUAGCCGGCCUGAGAGGGUGAUCGGCCACAAGGGAACUUAGACACGGACCUUACUCCUACGGUAGGCAGCAGUGGGGAAUAUUGGACAAUGGGCCACAAGCCUGAUCCAGCAAUUCUGUGUGCACGAUGAAGGUCUUCGGAUUGUAAAGUGCUUUCAGUAGGGAAGAAAAAAAUGACGGUACCUACAGAAGAAGCGACGGCUAAAUAUGUGCCAGCCGCCGCGGUAA
rnacentral:rRNA from 1 species